rnacentral:rRNA from 1 species
GUAGGUGGCAAGCGUUGUCCGGAAUUAUUGGGCGUAAAGCGCGCGCAGGCGGUUCUUUAAGUCUGAUGUGAAAGCCCACGGCUCAACCGUGGAGGGUCAUUGGAAACUGGAGAACUUGAGUACAGAAGAGGAAAGCGGAAUUCCACGCGUAGCGGUGAAAUGCGUAGAGAUGUGGAGGAACACCAGUGGCGAAGGCGGCUUUCUGGUCUGUAACUGACGCUGAGGCGCGAAAGCGUGGGGAGCAAACAGGGAUUAGAUACCCUGGUAGUCCACGCCGUAAACGAUGAGUGCUAAGUGUUAGGGGGGGUUCCGCCCCCUUAGUGCUGCAGCUAACGCAUUAAGCACUCCGCCUGGGGAGUACGGCCGCAAGGCUG